CUGUAAAAAUGUUAUUUUAUGCCUUUCAAAGAAAUAUAUAUUUUUUUUUAAAUUUGUAGAAUUCAGAUGGGCCUUCAAGGCAAUUAAUGUGAGUUAGGUUCUAUCAAAUGUGCAUCUAGAGAUGUUUGAUAACUUUAGUGCCCAUGAUACCCCAACUCACGCUACGUUUUUAAAAUCAGUGAUGGGCAACAUGUUAUAACAUUGAUCUUAGAUGAAUGCUACCUAAACCUGGUAUAUAUAUAUUUUUUCCCAGCAGUUAACUGAGCCAUGACAUCAACAUCAGUUCACAUCACUUUGGUUACAGUUCAGUCAUUUUGAGAAAGGUUUCAGAGCCUUUUUAAAUGAAAAGUUCAUGUAAACAUACCAUCUCCCCUAAUAUUGAACCAUUUCAUACCAGGAAUGUCAGUUUUGAAGCUAAAAGACUGUUCCACAGUAAUUCCCACGGCAUUAAAAAAGAAUCAGUUUACGAAAAAGAACUAAAAAACUCUGAAGAAUUGAAAAAAAAAAGGGGGGGGGGGCCAACUGGGUACUAAGGAGCAAUUUGGGAUUAUGUUGAUCCUCCCAGGCUGGCAGUCUCCGGGCAGCAGAGUUCACACAGCUGGAUCAGAGUUCCACCCUGUAGUUUCUCUUUCCACUUGGACAGAAAUGGAGGUGUUGGGCCUAUAAUCUGGUCCUUGCCCAAAGCCAAGUUAGUGUUAUGCAGUGUUUCUGUUUUGAACACAUUUGUCCUUAUUUUCCCUUUUCUCUGUUUGCCCACUAGAAGGGAAAAAAAUCAUCAGAGUUUUCUAGGUUAACAAAUUAGAGCUUUUCAGCCGGCUGAGUAGGGGUGGGCUGCAGCUGCUCUGUCCUGCCUUUCUCGAGUUCCCUUCCCACUGCAGAAGAGAAAGGAGAAGCCUGGUUGCUGAGCUUGGAGGACAUGCUAGUUGGGGAGCAUGAGGACAGUUGACAGCCGCUGUGUCUUUUUGUGGGGAGAGGAUUUACAGUGUAUUCUUGGACCGUGUGGGAUGAAAAAUCCCCACCUUUUUAGUUGGCUACUUUUGUGACAUUGCUGUGUGUGCCUCCGAGCUCGGCAGUCCUGGGCUGGAGAGGAUGGUGUGGAUUAAGAUUCGGGUGAGGAUGGAUGGGGAGGAGGUUGCAGCCUCUUGGGCUCCAUCAGAAGUGGAGUCAGCAUCCAGGGAGGCCGAGACAAACCCUUUGGCCGGUGUCCUUAAGCUCUCCGGGUGAAUUAGAAAGGAUCUUGGUCAAUUGUGUGGGAGUUGAGAAAACAAUGAGCCAGCUUGAUUUGCCUUGGAGGAAUAAAAUUUCUCAUGCUGCCUCCUCCUGCUUCUCUCUGCUGGGGGUGUGGAAGAAGCAGCGAGGGGAAGUGGGAGGUUUUCUGCUGGAGUUUAUUGAAAAAACAGCUGCCCUAUUCUAUCCAUUUCCCUCCCUCGCUAACCUUCGUCGCGCCCCAUCCUUUCUGUGGCAGGAUAUAACUAUGCUGUAAACUUUGGCAGUGGUGAAGCAUGUUAAUACAUUUUGAAACAAGAACUUUUUUUGGCAUGGAGCUGUUAGGUUAAAGCUGGAAGAAAAAGGAUAAAUAAAAUUUGAUAUAGUCAUUCUAGAAAUGGUUUGUAUUUGUCCAGAAGAGAGUCAGAGUUCAGUGGGUUUGUGUCUAAAAGAGCCAAACUGAGAUAAGGUAACGAGCCAGUAUUCCAAACUGGCAAGUGCGUGCCAGAACUUGAAAGGAGGUUUGCAGCUCCGCCUUUAUUAUCAUAACCUCUUGAACAGAAUAUGCCAUUUGAAACGACAGUAAAUGCUGCUCAGUGGAUAAGUUUAUGACCUAGUUUUUAACCAAGAGCACUUCUGAGAUUGAACGGUGCAGAGAAGAGCAAAGGAGCUUGGUCACCAUUGGCGAGAAGUUCUGUGCAAAUCAGGAGCUGGGGGCUAAUUAGAACCCCGAGACAUUAAGGAGCAGCUGUUUGAUGGUGUGAACUUUUGCACAGAGGUUUUCAAGAGGCUAAUUCUCCUUGGAAGUCUGUUUGCAAAGUGGUUCUUUCCUGGCGGUUGCUUCAUUCUUCUUCGCAGGCCUAUUUUCACUGAGUGGGAGCGUUUUGUGCCAAACCUAGCAAUGACCUUAUGGCGCCCGGAGCUGCCGCAGAGCCUGACCCAGCACUGAAUGUGGAGGGAGGGUCUUUUUUCAGCUCUGUUGGCUCUGGGGUCGGCCCACACCGCAGAGCUGCAGUUGAGGAACAGAAAGGAAGGGGGAUGUCCACAGAAUGUUUCUUCUGCCUUUCCCUCUCGUAAACUGCAUGCUCAGCCCCCUCGUCCCUCCUGCCUUCUCUGAACUCGUACACUCACUACCCGUCCCCUUC
rnacentral:lncRNA from 1 species